GAUCAUGGCUCAGGAUGAACGCUGGCGGCGUGCUUAACACAUGCAAGUCGAACGGGAAAUAUUUCAUUGAGACUUCGGUGGAUUUGAUCUAUUUCUAGUGGCGGACGGGUGAGUAACGCGUGGGUAACCUGCCUUAUACAGGGGGAUAACAGUCAGAAAUGGCUGCUAAUACCGCAUAAGCGCACAGAGCUGCAUGGCUCAGUGUGAAAAACUACCGUCGGUAGUAAGAAUGACCCGG
rnacentral:rRNA from 1 species